UACGGAGGGUGCAAGCGUUAAUCGGAAUUACUGGGCGUAAAGCGCACGCAGGUGGCUGAGUCAGUCGAUUGUGAAAGCCCUGGGCUUAACCUGGGAAUUGCAGUCGAUACUACUCAGCUAGAGUAUGGGAGAGGGCAGUGGAAUUCCUGGUGUAGCGGUGGAAUGCGCAGAUAUCAGGAGGAACACCGAUGGCGAAGGCAGCUCGCUGGGACGGUACUGACGCUGAGGCGCGAAAGCGUGGGGAGCGAACAGG
rnacentral:rRNA from 1 species